AAAGGGUCCGUAGGCGGUUUAAUAAGUCAGUGGUGAAAUCUGGUCGCUCAACGAUCAAACGGCCAUUGAUACUGUUAGACUUGAAUUAUAAGGAAGUAACUAGAAUAUGUAGUGUAGCGGUGAAAUGCUUAGAUAUUACAUGGAAUACCAAUUGCGAAGGCAGGUUACUACUUAUGGAUUGACGCUGAUGGACGAAAGCGUGGGGAGCGAACAGGAUUAGAUACCCCGGU
rnacentral:rRNA from 1 species